AUACCGCCCUAGUUCUGACCGUAAACGAUGCCAACUAGCGAUCCGCCGAUGGAAACACAAAUUGCCAUGGUGGGGAGCUUCCCGGAAACGAAAGUCUUCCGGUUCCGGGGGAAGUAUGGUUGCAAAGCUGAAACUUAAAGGAAUUGACGGAAGGGCACCACCAGGAGUGGAGCCUGCGGCUUAAUUUGACUCAACACGGGGAAACUCACCCGGCCCGGACACCGUAAGGAUUGACAGAUUGACAGCUUUUUCAUGAUUCGGUGGAUGGUGGUGCAUGGCCGUUCUUAGUUCGUGGAGCGAGCUGUCUGGUUUAUUCCGAUAACGAGCGAGACUCUGGCCUACUAACUAGUCCGCGCAUUGCCUCUGUGCCGUUGGACUUCUUAGAGGGAUUCGCGGUGUUCAGCCGCAAGAAAUGGAGCAAUAACAGGUCUGUGAUGCCCUUAGAUGUCCGGGGCUGCACGCGCGCUACACUGGCAGAAUCAGCUGGCUUGUCCUGCCCCGAAAGGGGCGGGUAAACCCGUGAAAAUCUGCCGUGAUUGGGAUCGGAAAUUGCAAUUAUUUUCCGUGAACGAGGAAUUCCAAGUAAGUGCGUGUCAUCAACACGCGUUGAUUACGUCCCUGCCCUUUGUA
rnacentral:rRNA from 1 species